GAAAUCCAACAAAAUCGUGAUCCAAUAUCUUCAACAUUCCCGGGAACAUCAACCGAGCCCGAAUUGUCUGAAAUUGUUGAUCCUGAAAACGAAAAAAGUUAUAUAUUUCAUGGAACCCUGUAUGGCUUCAAAAGUUUGUUGGCUGAAGUUCGAUAUAUUUUCAGUAUUUCAAGAAACUACUCUGACAGCCCCUUAACUGAUCUCGAAAACGGUUUCAAACUUAUCACAAGGCAUCAGAAACGGCGAUAUAUUGACAUUGAGGACCGGAUCAAUUUCCAAAAUCUCACCGAUUUUCGGCUGGGUCAUAUAAAAAACUGUGCCACGUGGUUAACGCAUUCUUCAUUUUUUCAAAGCUUAACUGAAACCGAAAAUUUAUUGAUUUUAAAAUCAACGUGGCAUGUGUGGUCUUGGCUAGAACUUUUGUCCGUUUCUGUUGAAAUAUUUGGGAAUCAAGUCUGCGAGGAAAAGAUUGUAUUUCUAUCCGAAAAAAUUGCAGUCGACAUAGUGAAGGUUUUCCGGUAUAUUUUGAAACCCCUAAACAAACAGGAAAAGAGAAAAGUUGAAAAGGAGCUAAACCCGAUAUUUCACAUACUUUUUGAUGACGUGGCAAGAAAAUUACAGAAUUUAAAGCCAAGUUCAUUGGAGAUAAAUUAUAUGCUGUGGCAGUUAGUCUGGUUUGUAGCUGAAAAAGUUCUUAACGAAGACAACCUGCGGCAUGGGGAACAAUAUACAAAUCAAUUAGCCAGCGACCUGCAUAAUCACUACAAAAACGAUCUCCACUUAGAGCAAUAUGCACAAAGAGUUCUGAAAAUGAUGGCAAUUGUGAAAAGCUUACAGAAACAUUUAAUGAACAUCCAUAAAAUAAUUGAUUAUGCUGAUAACUUUUGUAACUUAUUUGCAAUGAAAUAA
rnacentral:misc_RNA from 1 species